rnacentral:rRNA from 1 species
UAGGGAAUAUUGGACAAUGGGGGCAACCCUGAUCCAGCCAUGCCGCGUGAGUGAAGAAGGCCCUCGGGUUGUAAAGCUCUUUUGUCCGGAAAGAAAAGCAUUCGGUGAAUACCCGGAUGUUCUGACGUUACCGGAAGAAUAAGCACCGGCUAACUUCGUGCCAGCAGCCGCGGUAAUACGAAGGGUGCAAGCGUUCCUCGGAAUUACUGGGCGUAAAGCGUGCGUAGGUGGUUGUUUAAGUCUGAUGUGAAAGCCCUGGGCUCAACCUGGGAAGGGCAUUGGAAACUGGGCAGCGAGAGUGCGGUAGAGGGUAGUGGAAUUCCCGGUGUAGCAGUGAAAUGCGUAGAGAUCGGGAGGAACAUCUGUGGCGAAGGCGACUGCCUGGACCAGCACUGACACUGAGGCACGAAAGCGUGGGGAGCAAACA